GACGAACGCUGGCGGCGUGCUUAACACAUGCAAGUCGAGCGGUCCGGCAUUUAACAUUGAGUAUUCAGAGCUGAGUUGGCGAUUGAGCUGGCGUCAAGCAAAAACUUCCUUAAUAAUAUAAAUUAAAGUUUUUGCUUCACGCGCUAAAAGUGCCAACACAUGCGAAUCUGAGUAUUGAAUGUUAAAUGUCGGAUAGCGGCGGACGGGUGAGUAACGCGUGGGCAACCUGCCUCAUACAGGGGGAUAACACUGGGAAACUAGUGCUAAUACCGCAUAACAUAGAGAAGUGGCAUCACUUCACUAUCAAAGGAGCAAUCCGGUAUGAGAUGGGCCCGCGUCCGAUUAGCUAGUUGGUGAGGUAACGGCUCACCAAGGCGACGAUCGGUAGCCGAACUGAGAGGUUGAUCGGCCACAUUGGGACUGAGACACGGCCCAGACUCCUACGGGAGGCAGCAGUGGGGAAUAUUGCGCAAUGGGGGAAA
rnacentral:rRNA from 1 species